UUUUUGUAAUAAUGAAGAUAUCAUAUAUAACUUUCACAGUGGCACCCAUGACUGAGCUUAUCAUUCACUAAAGAAAACGUUUACAAUCUAACAAAGUUAAUCCAAUGAGUCCCUAACCAUAAAGAAAAAUAAAAAUAAUUAUAAAAAAACGAUGACAAAUUAACUUUAUGUGAGGGUUUAACGUCCUGAUCAAUAUCAAAGCUCUUCGAGUUGAAAUGGUUACUUUAAAAUUGCCAAGAUUGAGUUGCCGCGAAGGCGCGAACCAUGACUGUAACUUCUACACAAAUGGAAUCGUGUGGAUUUCACCAAAAAAAAAGGUGGGAAAAAAAAAAAAAGCAGAUUAAUGGAGGGAACUUAAUCACUGUAAUUAAUUCCCUAAUCAUUAUUAACUGAAAACCAGUAACCCACAUGAAAGAUGAUACAUAAAAGUCCCAAUUCAAAACUUUCAUCUGCCAGAGAAGUCACCGAAAUCAGCUUCUUUACAAUCUCAAUUACCGAAAUAGGUUUCUUUCUCCAAUCUUAGUUGUGUUCUUCAGAUUCUUCUUCAGAAGCCUCCUUCAACCACUACACCAAAGGAAUAUAUUGUAACAUAUAUGUGCCAUGAUGCAAUAACAGUAGUAGCAUCAUACAUCAAGUUUAAAUGAGCCAUGCACUAAAAGUAGAUUUGUUUGGUGAGAUUCAAAUUCUUGUGCUCCAUUUUCAUACAUCACCUGUCUGAAUGAACUUUUCUGAUUGGUUGACAAAAACUUUAUCUGAUUCCUCAGCAUCCUUUUUCUCAUCGGCCCAUCUUAAUAUGGCAUCCUCUUCUAAAAUGUCUUUGUCAUAUAAAAGAUGCAAAAUCUAAGGGAAAAUAAAGCUAAAAGAAUCAGCAUUACGAAGGAGAAAACAUCAUACAGUGAGCUGCUGACCCACAAUGAAGGAAAACUAUGCAACAAAAAGAGAUUAAAAUUCAGAAAGCCUCCUCAUUCAUUGAUCUAGCAUAUAAAAAAGAGAAAGGAUGCAUAGUGGAAGUUUAAUAAAAAUAGCCUAUGCAACCCUUUAAUGCAUCAAAAGUCUAGUUUUUAAUAGACAUGGCAACAGAAGAGUUUUGGUUCAGAGAUGAACCAAAUUCAAGCAUAAGCAACAAACAAAAUGGAACCACUGUGAAACAAAAUCAUUAAUCAUCUCAAAAUUCUCCCCAUUUAUUUGCCCCAAUGACAUCUCAUAGGGUAAACACAUUAUUUUUCUACCAUAAUUGUAUUAAAAAAUAUAUUUAUAUAAAUGAAAAAUAUUUUCAAAUCUUACUAGUGUUUGAAGUCCAAGUGACACCUCAAUUAACUCAAUUCCAUAUUUCCAUUUCCUGAACCAGUCUCAAGGGCAGCAGUGACGAUGGACCAUCCAGUUAACCAUCUUUCUGUUAUUGCAGUUCAUUCAGAUUUACUUCACAAUACAAUCUAUGAUCUGGAUGAUAAACUUGGCAAGCUCACCCUGUUCUAUAGGGCUUGCAUCAUAUGCCAAAAAAAUGUGUUUUUUUGAUGACAUGCCAUACAACCAAGUAUAUUGUAUCCAAAUGCACAUUGUGACUUUGGCUUUGUAUGUGGAUACAGAAAUUAUGUCCUUAAUUCCUUUGAUGUUGAACUAUAUUUUGGGGAUCAGUUCAUUGAUUACAAUAUGAAUUAUCCUUACUAUUAAACCAGGAACGAAUUACAUGCUAACCAAACAACACACUAUGAAGCUGACUGGAGAGAUGGAACUUUUGGUUAGUAGGUUGCAGACUGAUGCUACGUAUACAUACCCACAAUCCAAGACAAUGAAGAUACCUGGGAAAAAGUUGGCGAGAACUCCUUAGCAGACUCUAGACACAUUUCUUCAAAUUUCAAUAUCACUUCAAUCUGUUCAUUAAUAAUAUUUAGUAAAUACCCAAUUAUAACUGAAGAAACUAACAUAUAAUUAUAUAAAAAGAGCAAGGAAUGUUAUUAGUUUAAAAUGUUCACUCAGACGACUAUUUGAUAGUGAUGCAAUCAUGUCCAAAGUAAGAGAGGAAAAGAGUAAGAAAAAUAUGAUUCUCUAUGAUGUGAAGAUUAGUGUUGAAAGUGCAAUAGAGGGAAAAGAAAAAAUUCAGAUAAGAGUAGGACAUAACUGAUUCAAGUGAUGUAUAAUCAAAAGUUCAAAGGUAUAAAUAAGACUAGGUAAAAUGGCACCAUUGGUUGAUGACCAACACAGAAAGGAAAAGAAUAUAAAGAAAAUGCAUUUAAUAAUGGAAAAUCCAGUGUAUGCAUAAAUAUUUAAUUUGAUAGUAUAAAAUUUGCUUCAAGCAAUGUUAUAGCAAUUUAAAUAAGAAAUAAAGACAAUUGAAUUUUAAAUAAAGGUAAAACUAGCAAAAGUUGAGUUAACAGCCGGAGAUGUACAAAAUUUCCCAAACAAAGUAUGAUUCUACAGAGAGCUCAAAUUUGGUAAGUCUUUCUAAAUUGACAGGAUAAUGGGUAAAAUGCAACAGUCAAGGAUACAUAAAGAGUCAAAAACACCAACAAUGCAAACCUGAUCAUCUAUUUCUCUUGCAUAGAACUUUAGCAGCUUUUGCCAUGUACUUACAAUACUUGCAACAUUUUUGUAUAAUUCACCUGAGACGUAAAAAGAAGCAUCAACUUAAACAACAAAAAGCAUUAUUUUAGUUCCCCAGCCUCUAAUUGUAACAAUAGCAAUAAAACUAGAGCACCAUCCUAUACAUUUUUAAUAAAUAAAGUGAAAAAAAGAUUAAAAAUGGGAUAUGCUUCUAGUAAGAUGGAACUAGUUAUGAAAUCAUGCCCAGUUCAAAACUUCAUGGUUUUGUGCAUCCUAUCUUAAAUUAUAAAAAAAUCACAUUUUCAUUCUCCUAGCAAAAUAAGUGCAUAGGAAAUCAUUAGAAAAGAGAAUGCUCUAAGAUGACAUGAAUGUAUAAAUAUAACAUAUUGCUGAAGACAUUAACCACCAGCAGCAGGAUGUGGAGUUUCUAAUGCCAACUUCAUCAUUGCAUAAAAUAUUGCUCCAGCACAGUCUGCAGACGUCAUGUUGUAUGACAACCGGAGUGAGUUCAUUUCAAGGAUUAUAUCAUCAACUUUGAUAUUUUCAUGAACAGCCCUCAAAAAGGUUGCUUCAACCUCCUUCUCAAAGGUGUCAUCUCUAGAGUCAUCAUCACCUUCAGAAUCAUUACUGUUAUAGUCAGGUUUCAACUCUCCAGAAGGUGAUAGAGCACUUCCAUCUAGAUUCAACAAUUCCAAAUCAUCUUCUAUAGCUUGCAUAGCCUCCGCAAGUUUCUCAGCAGGAAUAGGUGCCACUGAAUGCCUCCAUUCAUCUUCAUGACCUCCUUCAGAGAUUGACCAAACAUAACCAGCACCACCAGGCCCAAGCUGACAAGGGAUAAAAAGUAUUAAGAAAAUAAACAUAUGUAGUCAGCUGCAUGACAAAUGACAAAUAGGAUUUUUUAUGUUGCCAUGAAGAAACCAAUAAAAGAUAUACCUGAUACCACUUCUUGGAUAGACAAAACUAGAGCAACAGAUUUUUUUGCAUCAACAAGUUAGAUGCAUGUUGAAUAUUUCCUCACAAGUUUGCAACAAUGGACUAUCAUGUGCCCUAAUUACCCAACAUUUGAGACAAUAUGCUCUCACUUCUCCUUUAACCACUAACUAAAUUAUCAAUAAUGGUUCUCAAUUAAAGAAUGCAACUGAGACUGCUAUUCAUGUUGGAAUAUUUUUUACAACCUUAUGCUAGCCCUUUGAACCAAAUAUUAAAUUAAGCCAAAUAAUAAGUGCAACUCCAGUUUUAAGGAGGAUUACUACAGGCCUCCCUUCAAACAUAAAAGGAAAAAAAGGAUUAACAAAUGUAAAAUAAGUUUUACAUUGACUGUAAUAAUAAGUAUUACAUUGACAAAAGCCAGUUAACAAACUAACCUUUCUGCACCAUUGGUUGUGGUCACAAAUCUCUGUGUCUUCAAUGUUUUAAAGAGACAUUGUCAUGCAAGGCUCAAGUUCUUUCUCCAUUUUUCUUUAUAUCUGUUCCAUACCCCCAGGGAUAAUCUUCCCUCUCAUUAUAAUUUAUACAAAAUAAUUUUCCCUUCUCACUAUAAUAUUCCCUCUAGCUUUUACACUUUCGCAUAAAAUCCCUUAAAGAAAAUAGCACAAUAAAUAAAAAAAAUUCAUACAGCCAAACGUAAAUAAUACAACUAGGAGAUAGCAGUCACAGUGAAGGGAAUUAAAAACUAAAGUAAAUGGCUAACCUCUGAUGCUGGUUCAGAUGUCAUCUCCCCAUUCAACUUAUCCAUAGUACCUGAAAUUGACGAAUCUAAUAUUCCACUGUUACUAUCAGCAUAUUCCAAUUCUUCAUCACUAUCUUGCAUAGUUGGCUGUUGAAGUAGAGACACUUUUGAGUAGGCAGGGACAACAAAUUGUUGUCCAAUUACAACCUUGAAAGACAACACCACACCAGGUUCCAAGACUGCACCUGAUUUUAUUAUCACCCCAUCACAUACAAUUGCAUGCCUUAGCUCACAACCAUCUUCUAUAGUGACAUCAUCCCAUACAUAGGAACCUACUAUUGAAACAUUUGAUCCAAUUGCACAGUUUUUUCCAAUAACAGAAUUUGAAAUCUUUGAGUUGUUCCCAAUUCUGGUCCCUUUUCCAACAACAGUAAAAGGACCCAUUUGUGCAGAACGUGAUUGCUCUAUUUCUGAAGAAAAUGAAAACAGUGAAGUACCAGUCAGCACAAACUUACCUAAAAGUAAAUAAAAAGGAUAUCAUAAGCAGCUCCUCACAAUAAGGAUACCUUGCUACUUAUCAAAGGAUAUAAGGGGACAUCAAUAGUGAAAGUUACUACUGCAUAACAACCAAAGAAUUAAUAAGUGAAGAAAUGCCAUUUUAUCAUAACAGUUAACCAUGCCAACAAUGGCAUUUUCUAAACCAACAAAUGAGCCAAUAGCAGCAUAUCAACAAACAGAAUAAGUAAAAACAGCCGUUUGAAAUAUCUAGUGGCCCCACAAAAAUAUGCUAAAUAUCUUCAAUUGCACUACUUCCUCUCAGCACAAUAAAAUAACAAAUAAAGAGACAGAAAAAGCUCUAAAGACAGUAAAAUGUAGUUCAAGCUGCGUAUAUUAAGUGCACUAGAAACCCCCAGUGCUUCCCUCUAAUGGCAUAACACAUUUAAUGCAAAACAUGGAGAGUUAUUGUUAUGAAAAUAAAAUAACUUAAAAAAAUAAAGAAAAAUCUAGUUACUACAAAAUGCAAUUUAUUGAGUUGAGUUUUAGAGUAAUAAUCUUUACCGGGUGCUCUGUACAUCCCUUCUCUCUCAACCUUAGUUGCAGAAUUUGCAAAAAAGGUCACAUCUGGCACAAAUGGAUAUGUCCAUCUCUGAAUAAUGUCCUUACUGAUAGUGUCAUAGCUUCGAUAGUUAUCAAUCCUAGCCGCAUAACUUGAGUGAAUCUCAUAAGUGAAUAUUUUGUAACCCAUAAUAUCAUCAACCAGUAAUCCCUUCACAAAAUGACGGCGAAGGUGUUGAUAAUCAAAAUUGUCUGUGAAAAGGCUCAGAACUUCUGAAGAGCAGAUGUCAAUAUAGCAAUCCUGCUUGUCAUUAUGCAGACAAAUAGAAGGAUUAUCAGCAAGCAACAUAUUAUCAAGAGAUAUGAACCCUUUUAUGUGGUCAGCCUUUUCCUCAUAAUACAGAAGCUGUUUUGUUUGAGGAUCUAUUGCCAUAAAUAAUUCAUCGGUACCAAGCCGUGACUGGUGGGUGAUUGGAGAUGGCUUUGACUGUUUAAUAACCAUAGUCAUUACUGCGUUACUGUCUUUUUUCCUUCUCUCCUUGUGUUCUUGAAUUGCCUGUGUGAGCGACAUGUUGCUUACAGUAUCCCCACUAACAAGGACAAAAUCCCCGUGUAUCACGUUGCGUUCAUAAAUCAAACGCAAAGCAUCUCCAGCACUAAUAGAAUUAUGCGACUCAAUUGUUGUGACAGUGAAAUUGGGCUGCGAAAACCAUUCCGAUUUCUCCAAAUAAUCGAUCACUUGUCGAGAAUGCGCACAGCAGAACACGAAAACCUCUUCAACUCCAGCGGAUUCGAGCCAUGCCAGAGUAUAGUUAAUCAUGGGCACAUUCACCAAAGGCAAUAGCACUUUGGGGCGUUCGAGGGUGAUGGGACGGAACUUGGUGGUGAAGCUAUCAGCCAAUAAGAUGGCUUGCAAUGGGUGUCGAGCUAAUUCCUCUGGUUCCUCAGUGACCCUAGUUCCGCCCUUCCUCUGCACACCCAU
rnacentral:misc_RNA from 1 species